rnacentral:rRNA from 2 species
CUCAGGACGAACGCUGGCGGCGUGCCUAAUACAUGCAAGUCGAGCGGACAGAAGGGAGCUUGCUCCCGGAUGUUAGCGGCGGACGGGUGAGUAACACGUGGGUAACCUGCCUGUAAGACUGGGAUAACUCCGGGAAACCGGAGCUAAUACCGGAUAGUUCCUUGAACCGCAUGGUUCAAGGAUGAAAGACGGUUUCGGCUGUCACUUACAGAUGGACCCGCGGCGCAUUAGCUAGUUGGUGAGGUAACGGCUCACCAAGGCGACGAUGCGUAGCCGACCUGAGAGGGUGAUCGGCCACACUGGGACUGAGACACGGCCCAGACUCCUACGGGAGGCAGCAGUAGGGAAUCUUCCGCAAUGGACGAAAGUCUGACGGAGCAACGCCGCGUGAGUGAUGAAGGUUUUCGGAUCGUAAAGCUCUGUUGUUAGGGAAGAACAAGUGCAAGAGUAACUGCUUGCACCUUGACGGUACCUAACCAGAAAGCCACGGCUAACUACGUGCCAGCAGCCGCGGUAAUACGUAGGUGGCAAGCGUUGUCCGGAAUUAUUGGGCGUAAAGGGCUCGCAGGCGGUUUCUUAAGUCUGAUGUGAAAGCCCCCGGCUCAACCGGGGAGGGUCAUUGGAAACUGGGAAACUUGAGUGCAGAAGAGGAGAGUGGAAUUCCACGUGUAGCGGUGAAAUGCGUAGAGAUGUGGAGGAACACCAGUGGCGAAGGCGACUCUCUGGUCUGUAACUGACGCUGAGGAGCGAAAGCGUGGGGAGCGAACAGGAUUAGAUACCCUGGUAGUCCACGCCGUAAACGAUGAGUGCUAAGUGUUAGGGGGUUUCCGCCCCUUAGUGCUGCAGCUAACGCA